CAGUUCCUAUUUACAACUUUACCUCCGUCUGUGACGCUUUUCUGCCUCCUGCUGGCUACUUCCCGGGUCGAAGAUGCAAGCCGGUGAUUUCUAAGAAACCACCCGGGAUGGGCAAACGCCACACCCAUUCAUCCCACUCGAGGGGGAUCGGAGCCACCUGUGCAAAGAGACAGGCACAAAACAGUCCGCUUCCACCACUGAAAUGAUCCGGGAAGACUUUGCAGCAUGGAAAAAGCCACGGAUCAGGGAUCUCAGUCACCCAGGAAAAAAUCUCCAGGCUGUUGACAACCCAUUAAGGAAUCAAAUCCAACGGUCCAGAAUAAA